UGACGUCUAUGCACCGUCCAGAAAAGACGUAUAAAAACCUUUCAUUCUGGCUCCCGAGAGGACGUCCUCUGGAUGUCCAUAAAUCACGUCUUUUAGACGUAUUUUAGACGACUUUUUGCUCACUGGGUAUAUCUGCUUACAUAUAU